AUGAUGCAUGUAAUCAGGGUGGACAUAAAACCUGCAUCUAAUGUGCUGGAGCAUAUGAUACUCGACGAAAGUGCGGAGCCGAUGAAUCUGCCGUUAGCACUUCUACAACACGUCACGGAGGAUUUUGCUGAGAAUCGACAAAUUGGUCGUGGUGGAUUUGGAGUCGUUUACAGGGGAGAUCUUCAAAAUGGGAGUGUUGCUGUUAAAAGGCUCUUAAACAGUCAUACAAUUGAAGAGGAGCCAUUUAAUCGCGAGGCUAUUUCUCUAAUCAGUGUAAAACACAAAAAUGUAGUACGGUUUCUGGGUUAUUGUGCUAAUACAGAGAAUAAAGCUAUGUUACAUGCAGAACCAGGGAAAGCCUUGAAGUAUGUUUUCGUCGAGAUAAGGGAAAGAUUACUCUGUUUCGAGUAUAUCAAUAAUGGGAGUCUCGACAAAUAUCUUACUGAUGAACUAAGGGGACUUGAAUGGCAUACUCGCUACCAAAUUAUUCGAGGAAUUUGUGAUGGUUUGGUUUAUCUUCACAAGGAAAAGGGUAUUGUUCACAGGGAUAUGAAACCUGCGAAUAUACUGCUCGAUCAUCGUAUGAUACCAAAAAUUACAGAUUUUGGUAUAUCAAAAUUCCUUAACGGAGCAACACACGCUGUCGCUAGUAACCGCAUAGGUUCACUGUAA
rnacentral:rRNA from 1 species